UACGUAGGGUGCGAGCGUUGUCCGGAAUUACUGGGCGUAAAGGGCUCGUAGGUGGUUUGUCGCGUUGUCCGUGAAAACUCACAGCUCAACUGUGGGCGUGCGGGCGAUACGGGCAGACUGGAGUACUGCAGGGGAGACUGGAAUUCCUGGUGUAGCGGUGGAAUGCGCAGAUAUCAGGAGGAACACCGGUGGCGAAGGCGGGUCUCUGGGCAGUAACUGACGCUGAGGAGCGAAAGCGUGGGGAGCGAACAGG
rnacentral:rRNA from 1 species